AGCUCCCUUGGGACCCCCUGGUUCAACAAAGAAAGAAACUAACAAACAAACAAACGGCUUUAAAACGAGAAAGCUGCCAAUUUUAUUCUCCUUCCAUCUUCUGUUAAAAGCUCUUCUUUUUUAUGGGUGAGCCAGACGGACGGACCUAGAUAUUUAAACUUUGAGAAGAGAAGGAUAAAAGGGACAUGAAGAAGAAGAAGAAGAAGAGAUGUGGAUUCAUCAUUGAGGAGAGAGGAGAUCAAAAGAUGACGUCUCCAGGCACGCCAGGGCUCGCAUUUUCUCCAUUUUAUAUGAAUAUAAACAAAACACUACUCCCAAGUCCCCAACCUACCAACUAAUUACUAUCAUAGGCAGAGGGUGCUGUCUGUGUCUAUAACUGAUCAGGAGCUUCCUGUGAAAUAAGUCUGAACUGCUGAAGGGUUUGGUCGGCCGGUGACAAUGCCAAUACUUGAGACAUUGAAGGGGACAUACACAUAUACAUCCACGUACAAACACUUGCUAAAUGUUAGCCUUACCUUCUUUUGUCUUUGUCCCUCAUUUUAGUUACUCCACUCAUUAUUGUUCCUUUAAAAUACUCCGAUGUGUGUGUUAUAUGCGUUCUAAAGUUAAAUUCCGGUGGAUGAAGUAUUAUCGCUGGUAAGAUAAAAUUUAGUAUAUGUAAUAUUAUUAUUGUGUUUGGUAUGCAUCAAUUAAUUGCACUCAUAUCUUCUAAAAGAAGUGGAUUUUAUUCAUCAAGGCUUUAAACUUUAGUGGUUGUAGACGGAGUUCAUUUAAAUCGCUUCACUCAAAUCAUGACUUCUUUUUUUUGACUUUAAAUGAUUUGAAUUUUUAACUUUAUUGGUGACUUGCAUUAAAAUUUAACUAGACACUUGAUUCGAAAUGAAUCAAAUUACCUUGGUUUGAUUUCAUUCUAGAUAAUCGGUCACUACUAUUAGAUAAAGUUGAUGCCUAAUUUGUACUACUUGUAGCAGCACGUCUUUAAAAUAGCGAGAGGUAAACUUUUUACGAUUCAAAAUAAAAUUCCAUUGUUAAUUUUAAAAUAUUCUUACACUCAAACUCAAAAUGAACAUUAAUUUUUGAUAAUACGACGAUAAAUAUUAUAAAUUAUUAUUUAUUAUAAAAUUUAGAAUUUUAUAAUUUUUAAUAACUCAUAUUAAUUUUAAAUUUUAAAUAUUUUAAUUUAACUUUCAAUAAUAAGAAGAAAAGUACAUAUAUAUCAUUCACCUGUCAAACCCACCUAUCAUGUCACCACUAUGGCUCUGAAGUCUUGAGCAAGCAUCAUAUUUAGUUUUGAUGAUGAUCAUUUUGAGUUCAUGUAUGUAUUUGAGGAUCCGAUUAGCAUAAAAUUAUUUUUUUGAUAAGUUGAUUAAUUGAUCAAUAGAAUAUCGAUACAUAUACAAUUUCGUCUGCGUCUCAAUAUUCUAUUAGUCAAUUGAAUAACUUAUCUCAAAAUAAACUUCAUACUAACCCUUCCAGUAUUUGAGCUUCAUAUUAUAAUAGUUAUCAUUUUUUUUAGUUUAUAUAAAAUUAAUAUUUGAUGUAUGAAUUAUGGUGCGCAAGGCAUAUUAAUAAAUACAUCAUGCAUGUAUAACCCGGUAUAAUUUAAUAAACUCAAGUAUAUAAUGUGUUAUUCAUUUUUUGUACUUCAUAUAAUUUUUUAAUUUUUGUGUGAUUGUUGUUUUAUAACAAAAGAAAAAGGGUAGUGGCUUCAGAAAGACACGUGGCAGAAAG
rnacentral:lncRNA from 1 species